UCAGCAAUAGCUUGAAAUGCUUUUGACAUCUCUUCUCUUUCCUUCAUCUCCCUCUUUGAUAUCUCCUCACUUUCCUUUACCUCAGCCUUAGAAGUUCCUUCAAGUUCCUUCAAUUCCACAGGCUUCUCUUUGCUUGCUGGGUUUUCCAAAACCAAGACCUUGGACUUAUCCUUCACACCUGCCUCAUGCAAAUAUUCCCGAUCCUCUUUUUCUUGCCCCCUAAACAAAAUCUUUUGCUGUUUAGGCUCCAGACCCGUUUUUGAUUCAAUAACUUCUUUCAUAUAGCGGGAACAUGGAUUUCAUACUGGGAGGGACCAUGAGAAACGUUGAUCUUGAUCAAGGGUCCAGCAUCAGCAGCAGCAGCAGCUGAAUCUCGUCUUUGGACAAGCAUGCCACCUGGCCUGGCCUCCCAAUCUUCAUUCAAAUUCUUCAUCGGAUCUGAAAUUAGAGUUGGUGCAUGAAAAUGUAGACUACUUUUGCCUACCACCAAAUCAAGUAGAUGGAUUUCUGAGGGAUCCCUGGCUGCAAAUACAAUUUAUCCUCUUUUUUUCUUUUUAAAUAUAAUUUUUAUCAGUUCUUAGAGAAACGGUU
rnacentral:misc_RNA from 1 species